rnacentral:rRNA from 1 species
GACGAACGCUGGCGGCGUGCUUAACACAUGCAAGUCGAACGGACAGGCGCUGCUUUUGCGGGGUGCUCGUGUGGCGAACGGGUGAGUAAAACGUGAGUAUCCUGCCCUUGUAUUUGGGAUAACUUCAGGAAACAGGGGCUAAUACCGCAUAGGAGAUCCUGCUGCAUGGUGGGGGUUGGAAAGUUUCGGCGGUUGGGGAUGGACUCGCGGCUUAUCAGCUUGUUGGUGGGGUAGUGGCUUACCAAGGCUUUGACGGGUAGCCGGCCUGAGAGGGUGACCGGCCACAUUGGGACUGAGAUACGGCCCAGACUCCUACGUGAGGCAGCAGUGGGGAAUAUUGCACAAUGGGCGGAAGCCUGAUGCAGCAACGCCGCGUGCGGGAUGACGGCCUUCGGGUUGUAAACCGCUUUCGCCUGUGACGAAGCGUGAGUGACGGUAAUGGGUAAAGAAGCACCGGCUAACUACGUG